rnacentral:rRNA from 1 species
UACGUAGGGUGCGAGCGUUGUCCGGAAUUAUUGGGCGUAAAGGGCUCGUAGGCGGCCAACUAAGUCGGAUGUGAAAUCCCGAGGCUCAACCUCGGAACUGCGUCUGAAACUACUCGACUAGAGUACUGGAGAGGGUAACGGAAUUCCCGGUGUAGCGGUGAAAUGCGCAGAUAUCGGGAGGAACACCGGUGGCGAAGGCGGUUCUCUGGGCCUUACCUGACGCUG